UAUCAGAAGUGCGAAUGCUGACAUAAGUAACGAUAAAGCGGGUGAAAAGCCCGCUCGCCGGAAGACCAAGGGUUCCUGUCCAACGUUAAUCGGGGCAGGGUGAGUCGACCCCUAAGGCGAGGCCGAAAGGCGUAGUCGAUGGGAAACGGGUUAAUAUUCCCGUACUUGGUGUUACUGCGAAGGGGGGACGGAGAAGGCUAUGUUGGCCGGGCGACGGUUGUCCCGGUUUAAGCGUGUAGGUGUGUGUUCCAGGUAAAUCCGGUUCACUUUAACACUGAGGCGUGAUGACGAGGCACCACGGUGCUGAAGCAACAAAUGCCCUGCUUCCAGGAAAAGCCUCUAAGCAUCAGGUAACAUCAAAUCGUACCCCAAACCGACACAGGUGGUCAGGUAGAGAAUACCAAGGCGCUUGAGAGAACUCGGGUGAAGGAACUAGGCAAAAUGGUGCCGUAACUUCGGGAGAAGGCACGCUGACACGUAGGUGAAGUGAUUUACUCAUGGAGCUGAAGUCAGUCGAAGAUACCAGCUGGCUGCAACUGUUUAUUAAAAACACAGCACUGUGCAAACACGAAAGUGGACGUAUACGGUGUGACGCCUGCCCGGUGCCGGAAGGUUAAUUGAUGGGGUCAGCGCAAGCGAAGCUCCUGAUCGAAGCCCCGGUAAACGGCGGCCGUAACUAUAACGGUCCUAAGGUAGCGAAAUUCCUUGUCGGGUAAGUUCCGACCUGCACGAAUGGCGUAAUGAUGGCCAGGCUGUCUCCACCCGAGACUCAGUGAAAUUGAACUCGCUGUGAAGAUGCAGUGUACCCGCGGCAAGACGGAAAGACCCCGUGAACCUUUACUAUAGCUUGACACUGAACAUUGAGCCUUGAUGUGUAGGAUAGGUGGGAGGCUUUGAAGCGUGGACGCCAGUCUGCGUGGAGCCGACCUUGAAAUACCACCCUUUAAUGUUUGAUGUUCUAACGUGGACCCGUAAUCCGGGUUGCGGACAGUGUCUGGUGGGUAGUUUGACUGGGGCGGUCUCCUCCUAAAGAGUAACGGAGGAGCACGAAGGUUGGCUAAUCCUGGUCGGACAUCAGGAGGUUAGUGCAAUGGCAUAAGCCAGCUUGACUGCGAGCGUGACGGCGCGAGCAG
rnacentral:rRNA from 1 species